rnacentral:lncRNA from 10 species
GGCCAGCCCCACCCGAGCCCUGACUCCAGGUCUCCUUGUCUCAGCCCUUCAGGGUUUCUCGCUCUCUGCUCCUCGCUGGACAGAAAAGAUCCUGGCAGCCUCGCCCUCCACCCUGGAUCCCCUCCCCACUACCCCCUGCCCCUGGGACUGGGUGGGGAAGCUGAGGCAGGAAGCCCUUUAGUCACUUGCCGAAGGCCACGCUGUUACCCAUGGGACCGGUUUUGGGCGGCCGAAGAGCACUCAUGGGGCCGGAUUCACGCCCCAGGCCCGUUCCCUCCUGCUCUCUGGUGCUCCUCACGCCAUUGGCCCCACUGCCUCUCACUGCCCGUGAGUCCCUGUGCCCGUGUCCUCCUUCUUGAACCCCUCAGCCCUCAGUUAACCCUCAGAAAGCUGGCUCGGAGAAGUCCUUGUGUGGUAUCUGGGAGGCAGAGUUUGCCGUGAGCCGAGAUUGUGCCACUGCACGCACUCCAGCCUGGGCGACAGAGCGAGACCCCAUCUCAAAAAAAAAAAAAAAAAGGCCUCACGGGACUAGAAGCGUCUUACCCUGACCUCACACCUGCUGGACAUCAGGCUGGGGAGAGAAUCGGGGAAGAGGGCAUUUUCCAACAGGACUGGAAGGCCAGUCGUGGUCCUUGGUGGUGAGAGCUAGCCAGGCCGCCGGCCUUCUCCCUGGAAGCCUGCAGGGUCCCCUCUGAUCCCUGCACCUCUGGGGGGUCACACCAACUGCGGGUGUUUCCUCACCACGCUGGGCGCUUGGUGAGCACGUUCUGCCUUGAGACCUGGCAUUUCUUUGAUAACAUUUCUUCUCGUUUCCUGCUCAUUCUGGAACUCCUGUCAGUCAGAUGUUGGGCCUUUUGGAUAGAUUCUGUGAGUCCUUCUUUCUACCUUUGCUUGUAGAUAAGAUUUUCCUUGAAUCCAAACACACACACUCUCUCUGCUUUUUAAAAAAUUAGUUUUGGGGCUGGAUGUAGUGGCUUACACCUGUAGUCCCAGGCACUUUGGGAGGCCGAGGCAGGCAGAUCACUUGAGGUCAGGAGUUCCAGACCAGCCUGGCCAACAUGGUGAAACCCCGUCUCUACUAAAAAUACAAAAAGUAGCUGAAUGUGGUGGUGUGCACCUGUAAUCCCAGCUACUCAGGAGGCUGAGGCAGGAGACUGGCUUGAACCCGGGUGGCAGAGGUUGCAGUGAGCCGAAAUCACACCACUGUACUCCAGCCUGGUGACAGAGCCA